GAAGUUCUUACUGAUGUUUAGACAUAAUCUCCUUUCUUCUAACUUGAAGCCAUUGGUUUGAGUCCUAGCCUCUGGAGCUGGAGGAAAAAAAGCUUGCUCCAUCUUCCAUGGGACACCACAUUAAACAUUUGAAGAUGGCUAUCAUAUUUCUUUUCAAUCUCCUCUUUUCCAGGCUAAACAUGCCCAACUCCCUCAACC